rnacentral:rRNA from 1 species
UCAAGCGUCUGAAGGGCAUCUGGUGGAUGCCUUGGCACUGAGAGGCGAUGAAGGACGUAGCACGUUGCGAUAAGUCACGGGGAGCCGCGAGCAGGCAUUGAUCCGUGAAUUUCCGAAUGGGGAAACCCACCGCUUAACGCGGUAUCCCACACUGAAUCCAUAGGUGUGGGAAGCGAACCCGGCGAACUGAAACAUCUAAGUAGCCGGAGGAAAGGACAUCAACCGAGACUCCGCUAGUAGUGGCGAGCGAACGCGGACCAGGCCAGUCAUUCGAUCUACAUAACCGGAACCGUCUGGAAAGUCGGGCCAUAGCGGGUGAUAGCCCCGUACGGAUAAACCGGAUCGAAUGCUCGAGUAGGGCGGGGCACGUGAAACCCUGUCUGAACAUGGGGGGACCACCCUCCAAGCCUAAGUACUCCUCAGUGACCGAUAGUGCACCAGUACCGUGAGGGAAAGGUGAAAAGCACCCCGACAAGGGGAGUGAAACAGUUCCUGAAACCGGAUGCCUACAAGCAGUCGGAGCUUCCUUGCGAAGUGACGGCGUACCUUUUGUAUAAUGGGUCAGCGACUUAGAGUAUGCAGCGAGCUUAAGCCGAUAGGUGGAGGCGCAGCGAAAGCGAGUCUGAAUAGGGCGACCGAGUUGCAUGCUUUAGACCCGAAACCUGAUGAUCUAGCCAUGGGCAGGUUGAAGGUGCGGUAACACGCACUGGAGGACCGAACUCACGCCUGUUGAAAAAGUCGGAGAUGACCUGUGGCUAGGGGUGAAAGGCCAAUCAAAUCAGGAAAUAGCUGGUUCUCCGCGAAAGCUAUUUAGGUAGCGCGUCGCGUAUUGCCGCGGGGGGUAGAGCACUGGAUGGGCUAGGGGGGCGCGAGCCUUACCAAACCUAACCAAACUCCGAAUACCCGUGAGCAGAGCGCGGCAGACAGACGGUGGGUGCUAAGGUCCAUCGUCGAGAGGGAAACAGCCCAGACCGCCAGCUAAGGUCCCCAAAUCACGGCUAAGUGGGAAAGGAUGUGGGAAGGCCAUGACAACCAGGAGGUUGGCUUAGAAGCAGCCAUCCUUUAAAGAAAGCGUAAUAGCUCACUGGUCUAGUUAAGCCGGCCUGCGCCGAAAAUGUAUCGGGGCUCAAGCCGUGUACCGAAGCUGCGGGUGUGAUCUUCGAUCACGCGGUAGCGGAGCGUUCCGUAAGCCUGCGAAGGGUGUCCGUGAGGCCGCCUGGAGGUAUCGGAAGUGAGAAUGCUGACAUGAGUAGCGACAAACAGUGUGAGAAACACUGUCGCCGAAAGUCCAAGGGUUCCUGCGCAAGGUUAAUCCACGCAGGGUGAGCCGGCCCCUAAGGCGAGGCCGAAAGGCGUAGUCGAUGGGAACCAGGUUAAUAGUCCUGGGCCUGGCGGAGGUGACGGAUGGGAAAGCGUGUAUGUCCUUAUCGGAUUGGACAUGCUGUGGACCUGUUCCAGGAAACAGCCCCGCCGUAUAGACCGUACCCCAAACCGACACAGGUGGACUGGUAGAGUAUACCCAGGCGCUUGAGAGAAUGGUGUUGAAGGAACUCGGCAAAUUGCCCUCGUAACUUCGGAAGAAGAGGGCCCCGUUUGGACGCAAGUCCAGGCGGGGGGCACAGACCAGGGGGUAGCGACUGUUUACUAAAAACACAGGGCUCUGCGAAGCCACACAAGGCGACGUAUAGGGUCUGACGCCUGCCCGGUGCCGGAAGGUUAAGAGGAGAGGUGCAAGCCUUGAAUUGAAGCCCCGGUAAACGGCGGCCGUAACUAUAACGGUCCUAAGGUAGCGAAAUUCCUUGUCGGGUAAGUUCCGACCUGCACGAAUGGCGUAACGACUUCCCCGCUGUCUCCAACACCAACUCAGCGAAAUUGAACUCUCCGUGAAGAUGCGGAGUUCCCGCGGUCAGACGGAAAGACCCCGUGCACCUUUACUACAGCUUUGCAGUGGUGCUAGGGACUUCAUGUGUAGGAUAGGUGGGAGGCUUGGAAGCCUGGGCGCCAGCCCGGGUGGAGCCAACCUUGAAAUACCACCCUUGAAGUCUCUGGCAUCUAACCGUGGCCCGUGAUCCGGGUCCGGGACCCUGCAUGGCGGGUAGUUUGACUGGGGCGGUCGCCUCCCAAAGUGUAACGGAGGCGCGCGAUGGUGGGCUCAGAGCGGUCGGAAAUCGCUCGUCGAGUGCAAUGGCAUAAGCCCGCCUGACUGCAAGACUGACAAGUCGAGCAGAGACGAAAGUCGGCCAUAGUGAUCCGGUGGCUCCACGUGGACGGGCCAUCGCUCAACGGAUAAAAGGUACGCCGGGGAUAACAGGCUGAUGACUCCCAAGAGUCCAUAUCGACGGAGUCGUUUGGCACCUCGAUGUCGGCUCAUCACAUCCUGGGGCUGGAGCAGGUCCCAAGGGUUCGGCUGUUCGCCGAUUAAAGUGGUACGUGAGCUGGGUUUAGAACGUCGUGAGACAGUUCGGUCCCUAUCUGCCGUGGGUGUCGGAGUUUUGCGAGGAUCUGUCCCUAGUACGAGAGGACCGGGAUGGACAUACCUCUGGUGCACCGGUUGUCACGCCAGUGGCAUGGCCGGGUAGCUAAGUAUGGACGGGAUAACCGCUGAAAGCAUCUAAGCGGGAAACCCACCUCUAAACCAGAGCUCCCUUGAGAGCCGUGACAGACCAUCACGUCGAUAGGAGGCAUGUGGAAGGGCGGCAACGCCUGAAGCUAAGCCUUACUAAUCGCUCGAUCGGCUUGAUCUC